rnacentral:tRNA from 1 species
GGGCAGUUAGUUUAUCGGUAAAACGUCUGCUUUACACGCAGAAGAUGGUAGGUUCGAUUCCUACACUGCCCA